AUUGAACGCUGGCGGCAGGCCUAACACAUGCAAGUCGAACGAGUGGCGGACGGGUGAGUAAUGUCUGGGAAACUGCCCGAUGGAGGGGGAUAACUACUGGAAACGGUAGCUAAUACCGCAUACCAUCGGAUGUGCCCAGAUGGGAUUGGCUAGUCGGUGGGGUAACGGCUCACCUCGGCGACGAUCCCUAGCUGGUCUGAGAGGAUGACCAGCCACACUGGAACGGAGCAACGGUCCAGACUCCAACGGGGGGCAGCAGAGGGGAAUAUUGGACAAUGGGCGCAAGCCGGAUGCAGCCAUGCCGGGGGUAGGAAGAAGGCCUUCGGGUUUUAAAGUAUUUUCAGCGAGGAGGCGUUACUCGCAGAAGAAGCAUCGGCUAACUCCGUGCCAGCAGCCGCGGUAAUUC
rnacentral:rRNA from 1 species